GCCCAGGUAGCUCAAGUGGUAGAGCGAAACUUUGAAGCAGUUUAGGUUAUAAGUUCAAAUCUUAUCUUGGGCA
rnacentral:tRNA from 1 species